rnacentral:rRNA from 1 species
AACGCUAGCUACAGGCUUAACACAUGCAAGUCGAGGGGCAGCAUCAUCAAAGCUUGCUUUGAUGGAUGGCGACCGGCGCACGGGUGAGUAACACGUAUCCAACCUGCCGACAACACUGGGAUAGCCUUUCGAAAGAAAGAUUAAUACCGGAUGGCAUAAUUAUUCCGCAUGGGAUAAUUAUUAAAGAAUUUCGGUUGUCGAUGGGGAUGCGUUCCAUUAGGCAGUUGGCGGGGUAACGGCCCACCAAACCUACGAUGGAUAGGGGUUCUGAGAGGAAGGUCCCCCACAUUGGAACUGAGACACGGUCCAAACUCCUACGGGAGGCAGCAGUGAGGAAUAUUGGUCAAUGGACGAGAGUCUGAACCAGCCAAGUAGCGUGAAGGAUGACUGCCCUAUGGGUUGUAAACUUCUUUUAUACGGGAAUAAAGUGAGCCACGUGUGGCUUUUUGUAUGUACCGUAUGAAUAAGGAUCGGCUAACUCCGUGCCAGCAGCCGCGGUAAUACGGAGGAUCCGAGCGUUAUCCGGAUUUAUUGGGUUUAAAGGGAGCGUAGGCGGGUUGUUAAGUCAGUUGUGAAAGUUUGCGGCUCAACCGUAAAAUUGCAGUUGAUACUGGCGACCUUGAGUGCAACAGAGGUAGGCGGAAUUCGUGGUGUAGCGGUGAAAUGCUUAGAUAUCACGAAGAACUCCGAUUGCGAAGGCAGCUUACUGGGAUUGUAACUGACGCUGAUGCUCGAAAGUGUGGGUAUCAAACAGGAUUAGAUACCCUGGUAGUCCACACAGUAAACGAUGAAUACUCGCUGUUGGCGAUAUACAGUCAGCGGCCAAGCGAAAGCAUUAAGUAUUCCGCCUGGGGAGUACGCCGGCAACGGUGAAACUCAAAGGAAUUGACGGGGGCCCGCACAAGCGGAGGAACAUGUGGUCUAAUUCGAUGAUACGCGAGGAACCUUACCCGGGCUUAAAUUGCAACUGACGGAACCGGAAACGGUUCUUUCUUCGGACAGUUGUGAAGGUGCUGCAUGGUUGUCGUCAGCUCGUGCCGUGAGGUGUCGGCUUAAGUGCCAUAACGAGCGCAACCCUUACGGGUAGUUACCAUCAGGUUAUGCUGGGGACUCUACCCGGACUGCCGUCGUAAGAUGUGAGGAAGGUGGGGAUGACGUCAAAUCAGCACGGCCCUUACGUCCGGGGCUACACACGUGUUACAAUGGAGGGUACAGAAGGCAGCUACACGGCGACGUGGUGCUAAUCCCAAAAGCCUCUCUCAGUUCGGAUUGGAGUCUGCAACCCGACUCCAUGAAGCUGGAUUCGCUAGUAAUCGCGCAUCAGCCACGGCGCGGUGAAUACGUUCCCGGGCCUUGUACACACCGCCCGUCAAGCCAUGAAAGCCGGGGGUAC